rnacentral:lncRNA from 1 species
AAUGACCUAUGCAGAACUCAAAGGCAGAAUUAACAAGGAAGUGAAAAUAGUUUUAUUCUUCUAAUAUCAUGUAUUUCCUUAUAUAUUAAGGAAGAAUUGGUCUCUGUUUAGCAUAACCAUUAUUAAAAAUAUUUAUGUGAGAAAAAAUGUGUCUGGAACUGUUAGAAAUAUACAAUUAAAUAUGUUAUUUGUCCACUUUAUAUGAUAUUUAUGCUAUAUGUGUCUAUUUCUCCUCCUUGCUUUUUAGGUUAUCAGCAUGAAAAUCAGCCUCUGUUUCUAAGAAAUUCUAAAAAUAUUACUCACCUAUGCCUAUCAUGUCCUGCCACAUUAUAAUCUUGGUUACAGCUCUCAAAAUGUCAGAGCAGAUCAUGAACUAAAGAUGUGUCAUAGGUAAAAUCAUUUAAAAGGCAAAUUCAACAUAAUGAACUGAAGAAAAAAAUCCAACCAUGAGAAUAGUUGAUGUUGACUAUAAUUAAAAAAAAAAUAGCAUUCUUUACAAAAUGCAAAACUGUAUGAGCACUAGGAUUAAAACUGCUAAUCCCUUUCUUUUCCCCAGACCUCCCCAGCUAGCCAUAAAUUCCAUCUGGCCCAUUGCAGGGGGCCCUGAUUGCCUCCUGCACUGCUGGAAUUCAGGCAGGAUGGAGAUAGACAGUUUUCACCCCAUGAGUUGGUGAGUUCAGAAAGAGUAUUGUGUUGCUCUGGACAAGCAAUCCUUCCAAAUUUUAGAAACAGUCUGGGGAUGUGUAUUCAAGAAAUCUGCUCCCUUUUCACGUUCUCCCUAGUCCCUUGGAAGGGACACCCAUCUGGGCUGUCCAUCUGUCCAGAAUUGGAUUGUGGUCGCCAAGUCGCUCUUCCCUUCCGGGUGAUUGAUUCAUGAUCAUCAGUGAUCUUCAUCACAUCCGCAGCUCCCCUGGGAGCCGAUAUAUAUUUUUAAAAAUUAACUGAGUGCCUUAACUAGUAGCUGUCGGUGAUACAGUGAGAGAGAAGACACUUCAAGACAGUUGGGAUGACAGACAAGUAAAAAGUAAAAGGAGCUACCAUGGGGAUGUGCAAGAGGCGGUUUGAAAACACCUAAUCUCCCCUCUACCCCCACCGACACCCCACUUGGAGGAUCAAGAAAGGAUUCCUAGGGGAAGUGACAGUUAAGCUAAGUCCCGUAGUAUCACCAGGAAUAUUAGAGGACCAGCCAGAUGAAGAGCAAGUAGGUAACUGGAGGAGCCCUGAGGAAGGACCUAGGGAGGGCAGAAUGAUGUCAUCCACAAGCAAGGAUCACUAUAUGGCAAGAUCCAGUUGGGAGACAGAGAUGGUGGGGAACUCAGAGAAGUGCAAAUGGCUGAGCAUAGCUGGAGAGAAAAUCAUCUGCCACGGAAGCCCUAGUCUGGCAGGAAAGAAGAGUCAUUAGGCAUCAUCUGGCAACUUGGCUUGGAGAAGUCAGAUCAGUCACCAAGAGUCUGGUGGGGCUGCAGCAAUGGCUAGAAAGAACCAGUGACAUGAUUGCCAGAUAGAGUGGUCAGAGAAGACCUUUCUGAGGCCAUGGUAUUUAAGAUGAGACUUGAAGAGCAACAAGAAGCUAGACACACAAAGCAGAUAAUUUUUUAAUGGCCAUUUCUGGAGAGAAGUUUCCAAGGGAUGAAGUUAUUAUACAGUUUCCAAAUAUUCCUGAAGAGGUCUAAAGAAAAUGUAUUCUGAUUCCACCUUUUACCUGUUUUCCUUUUUUUUUUUCUCUCUCUCUCUUUUUGGAAUUUGUUAUUUGGAUAUAGGAUACACUAGGCUGGUGCUCCAAUUUUCUUAUAUUUUCUGUUUUCCUUGAAGUUUUAGGGGACUUUCUGAACUUUAUUUUUCAAAAUUCAGUUGAGUCUUUAUUGUUUUCCAAAUAUCAACAUUUCUUACCCAGACUAAUGAACUAGCCUACUCACUCAUCUUUCUGAUCCUAUUCCUCUAUAUUAUCCACCCCAAUCCCAAGUUAAUUCUUGUAUGGUCUUUUUGAAAGACUGCAUGAGGUUUUUUGUUUUUAUUUCUGCUUAAAUUAUUUGCUGAUUUAUUUGCACUUAGGAUACAGGCCUAAAUCCUUAGCUUUGCUGACAUCAUGAAAGAUGUGGGCCCUCCCUAGCACUCCAGUUUCAUCUUACAUCAUGCCACUCUUUGGUACUUUAUCCUUACUGUCCAGCUUCAUUUCCUAGAGUGUCCUGUGACCCUCUUGACUCAGAGCCUCUGCACGUGCUGUUCCCUGUGUUUGUCUCCUUUGUCCAGCUCUACCAACUUCCUUUAUCUCUCAGUGUUCAGGUGUCAUCUCAUCUCCAGCAUGAAUUAGAUGUCUUAUCUUGUGCUUCUCAUUGGGCUAUACUGUAAUGCUUAGCACAUUAGUCAGUUCCCUCAUUGCUAUAAAGAAAUACCUGAGGCUGGGUAAUUUAUAAAGAAAGGAGGUUUAAUUGG